AUGGCUCGCGGUGCAGCUAUUCCGCUCGUGCUGGUCGCCAUGGUGGCCACUAUGCUCCUCGUAGCCACCGACGCGGCCAUCUCCUGCGGUCAGGUGACCUCCGCCUUGAGCCCCUGCAUCUCCUAUGCCCGCGGCAAUGGCGCCAACCCGACUGCUGCCUGCUGCAGCGGUGUCAGGAGUCUGGCCGGGGCAGCCCGGAGCACCGCUGACAAGCAAGCGGCGUGCAAGUGCAUCAAGAGCGCUGCCGGUGGGCUCAACGCUGGCAAGGCCGCCGGCAUCCCCUCCAAGUGCGGCGUCAGCGUCCCAUAUGCAAUCAGCGCUAACGUCGACUGCUCUAAGAUUCGCUGA
rnacentral:rRNA from 1 species